UACGGAGGAUGCAAGCGUUAUUCGGAAUGAUUGGGCGUAAAGCGUCCGCAGGUGGCUUUGUAAGUCUGCUGUUAAAGAGUGAGGCUCAACCUCAUAAGAGCAGUGGAAACUACAAGGCUAGAGUACGUUCGGGGCAGAGGGAAUUCCUGGUGUAGCGGUGAAAUGCGUAGAGAUCAGGAAGAACACCGGUGGCGAAAGCGCUCUGCUAGGCCGUAACUGACACUGAGGGACGAAAGCUAGGGGAGCGAAUGGG
rnacentral:rRNA from 1 species